AUGAGGCAGGUGAACCAGUGCAGUUACACAAAGAGGCAAGUGAAACGUUUCUCUUAUGACAAGUCACUCCUUACCUGCUUAGUAGAUAGAUGGAGGCCAGAGACACAUACGUUUCACUUUCCAUGGGGAGAGAUGGCGCCUACUUUACAGGAUGUGUCUUACUUGUUGGGAUUACCUCUGGCCGGUGCUGCCAUAGGUCCCUUAGAGGCAGAAUCUAGGUGGCAAACAGCGAUGCAGACCCAUUUUUUGGCUGCGGUCCCGACUGCUAGGGCCAUAGACAACGAUCCUCAUGGACCUCUUUUUAGAUGGUUGAGCCAGUUUCAGAUUGUCUCGUUAGGAUAUCCCGAUGUUCAGUUGUCGGAGGCACAGAUUGACCGGUCCCUAGAGGCAUAUAUUCUUUGGCUGUUCGGCAAGACGAUGUUUACGGAGAACCACGUGACCACUGUCGAUGCACGACUCAUCGGUAUUGCACGAGAGAUAGCUGACGCACGUUGCCCUGCGGAUAUUCUACAGAGGAGUUUUGGUUCUGCUGUGUUAGCUGCUACGUACAGAGGCCUGUGCAAAGCUUGCUUGUUGAAGUCUAGAAAAUCUGGUGUUGUUGGAUGUCCAUUAUUGUUGCAGCUCUGGUCAUACGAGAGAUUCCCUAUUGGACGACCCUAUGUCUAUGUUGAUAAACCUUUUGGUUUGGAGGACUUAGCUGGGGCUUAUGUGCCUGCUAUCGGCGAUUUACCUACUAUGGGAUCUGUUUGGGCACGACGAGAGAGACAAUUUGCGCAUAGUCAGGUUAGGGGAUGCUACCCGUCCUUCACGGUGCAGUUUGAUAGUUUGCACGAGGAUCAAGUUAUCUGGGAGCCAUACUCGGCUCAGGCUAUAUCAUCGAGGUACCCAGUUGGGAUUUCUGGAUUAUGCACUAGAGAUCGGCACUUUUGGAUGACCAAGGGCAAGUUGGUGUUCGAUGUGACGGUUGAGGAGAUGUCUCUUCAUAGGGUGAUGAGACAGUUCGGUCUAUAUCAAGAGCCUGAGAUUCCAGAUAUUCCACACUUGCCAGACCACGUGCACAAGGACAGUCGCCUAGGAGGAAACAAGUCGAUGGAUUACUGGCUUAAGAGCGUUACCCCUUACGUUGACGAAUGGACUACCGCUGCGACAAAUAUCUGGGGUGAGGUUCAGGCCUAUAACUGGGAAAUGUUCGGGUUGUAUCUGCAGCGUUACCGGCAUACAACGAGGAUCUACUUGGUUCCAUCAGCUGCUCCUGAUUAG
rnacentral:rRNA from 1 species